GUCUACGGCCAUGCCACCCUGAACAAGCCCGAUCUCGUCUGAUCUCAGAAACUAAGCAGGGUCGGGCCUGGUUAGUACUUGGAUGGGAGACCACCUAGAAGACCAGGUGCUGUAGGUG
rnacentral:rRNA from 1 species